GUCACCUGGGUAUCUUGCUAAAAUGUAGAUUCUGGUUCAGUAGGUCUUGAUUUGGCCUAAGAUUUUGCAUUUCUAACAAGUUCCUAGGUGGUGUCAU
rfam:Pan troglodytes isolate Yerkes chimp pedigree #C0471 (Clint) chromosome 21, whole genome shotgun sequence.